CGAGACACAGGUGGGUCUAAUUAGAGAGGAGAUGACACUUGAGGUGGGAAACACAAGGACUGACUGAAACCACAUCUUCUGGAUACCAGAAGUUGGAAGAAGCUGCUUACAAAGGAUUUCUCCUCCAAGUUGUUUAUUUGGAGCUCCAGGCCCAAACACAUGAGCGCACAAGCCUGUUUGCUGUAAUGACGUCGGAGGAUAUAAAUGUGUCUUCAUUAGCUGACACGGUGCUACAGAAGUGGUCUGAUUUCUCCUCCGCUGUCCAAAGCAAAGCUGUGAAGCCGCUGAGGAGGCACAUCCAAAGGAGAGGGGCUUCGGGACAAUCAAAGCACUGAGCACUCGAUUUAAGGAUUGUAAAUACUAGGGACGACGGACUCAGCUGGCCUGAUCCUCUCCUCUGGACUGUGUGAAAAAAUUAGCAUUUCAAUUAAUGUUUUAUGUAACAUUCAGGGUCUUUUAAUGUCAACUUAAGCCUUUGAAUUCAAUAAAACAUCAUUUGUAUGGAGUCUAGAAAUCCAGCAGCGAAGCUAGAUCGACCAUUGAUGUGACAUUUAAUCAUCAUCAUAAUUAAUGUAACAUCAGCCAGUCAACCAGUCAAUCAAUCUGUAAUUGUAGAGCACCUAUAUUUAUAACAAAUGUUUUCUCAAGACACUCUACUAGAGGUCUAGUCUUCUUAUAUGUGAGACCCAACAUUAAUCCAUCACGCGCAAAGCACUUAGCAACUUUUACUGAGUCACAAGCACAGACAUUAGUGUCUUGACAGUAGCUAAAUUACAUGGUAGAGUACAUGUAGACCUGUCUGCAGGGGUUGAUAGCCUAGCUUCCCUUCCAGCUCCCCAGAGAGUUUCUCUACAACGGGGGUUAAGUGUUAAAGACUUUUAUAUCAGUGGUGUUGCUGAAACUAUACAUUAUCAUCCCUGCGUAUAAGUUAGGGUUGAUGUAUAGUGAGUGGGUUCUUACAGUGGAUCAGAAUCCCUACAGGGUCUAAGCAGGACCCAGACCUCUCUGGUCCCAACUGUGUCUAUGCCAUUUUUUCCUCUCUCUCUGCUGGUGAUUGGUGAACCAUUAACCACCAGUCUAAAGUUUUGUGAUCUCCAAAUACGUUAAAAAAAGUAUCAAAAAUAUCCUCCAUGUUGGGUACUGUUUUAGAGUGUUAACUAACAUUUUUGCCACAGUGUCAACAGGCAGAGGUGAAGUGUGCCAGACUUCUUUCUUUCUGUUGUUGAUUUGAUUGGAUGUGUGGGAUCAGGUUUUCCCUGGCAACACUUUGCUGUUGGGACAUGAAUCACAGCUGUUAUUGGAAAAUAGAUGAACAGCUUGUAAUAUAUUUUAUGAUGCUAAAUGCCUGAGUGAUGAUGUUUUUUUCUGAUAACAAAUUUUGGAAUAAAAUAAAACAAUAACAACAAAAACAAA